GAAAUGCGAUAAGUAAUGUGAAUUGCAGAAUUCAGUGAAUCAUCGAAUCUUUGAACGCACCUUGCGCUCCUUGGUAUUCCUUGGAGCAUGCCUGUUUGAGUAUCAUGAAAUCUUCAAAGUAAAUCUUUUGUUAACUCAAUUGGUUUCUACUUUGGUAUUGGAGGUCUUUGCAACUUCACACCUGCUCCUCUUUGUUCAUUAGCUGGAUCUCAGUGUUAUGCUUGGUUCCACUCGGCGUGAUAAGUUAUCUAUCGCUGAGGACACUGUAAAAGGUGGCCAAGGUAAAUGCAGAUGAACCGCUUCUAAUAGUCCAUUGACUUGGACAAUACUUUUAUGAUCUGAUCUCAAAUCAGGUAGGACUGCCCGCUGAACUUAAGC
rnacentral:misc_RNA from 1 species